CUCCCAUAUGAAAGGAGAAAUUUCUACAUGUACUCCUUGAAAUUAAGAUAACUAGUCAAAAUUUGUGCAUUAGGGGAUGCCAUUAUGCUUUCUGAUUGGAGUUUCCUUUAGUUCCUUGCUCAUAUUUUCCUGGCACUGAUGAUGACGUGCCAUUAUAGAGAAGGAAUGUAUGAAGGACAAAAAUCAAGAAGCAUCUAAUCCACAUGCAUCAGGUGACAGUUCUAAGAAGAUGAGUGGUCAUUAAGAAACAAAAGCUGUAACUUCAGAAAACCUCUGACUUUGGAAGAAGAGCAAAGUAAAGUU